GAUGAACGCUGGCGGCGUGCCUAAUACAUGCAAGUCGGGCGAACGGACGAGAAGCUUGCUUCUCUGAUGUUAGCGGCGGACGGGUGAGUAACACGUGGAUAACCUACCUAUAAGACUGGGAUAACUUCGGGAAACCGGAGCUAAUACCGGAUAAUAUUUUGAACCGCAUGGUUCAAAAGUGAAAGACGGUCUUGCUGUCACUUAUAGAUGGAUCCGCGCUGCAUUAGCUAGUUGGUAAGGUAACGGCUUACCAAGGCAACGAUGCAUAGCCGACCUGAGAGGGUGAUCGGCCACACUGGAACUGAGACACGGUCCAGACUCCUACAGGAGGCAGCAGUAGGGAAUCUUCCGCAAUGGGCGAAAGCCUGACGGAGCAACGCCGCGUGAGUGAUGAAGGUCUUCGGAUCGUAAAACUCUGUUAUUAGGGAAGAACAUAUGUGUAAGUAACUGUGCACAUCUUGACGGUACCUAAUCAGAAAGCCACGGCUAACUACGUG
rnacentral:rRNA from 1 species